AGGCGUUGCACCACAGAACGUGGCCUACGGCCGAGCGCUGCCUCUUAAAAGUGUUGGAGUAAAACCUGGAGUUACUGGAGCCCUUGGAGCACUGGGCAGCAGAUAUAACACAAAAGCC